GACGAACGCUGGCGGCGUGCUUAACACAUGCAAGUCGAACGGAAAGGCCCUGGUUUUGUGGGGUGCUCGAGUGGCGAAAGGGUGAGUAACAAGUGAGUAACCUGCCCUUGACUUUGGGAUAACUUCAGGAAACUGGGGCUAAUAACGGAUAGGAGCUCCUGCUGCAUGGGGGGGGGUGGAAAGUUUCGGCGGUUGGGGAUGGACUCGCGGCUUAUCAGCUUGUUGGUGGGGUAGUGGCUUACCAAGGCUUUGACGGGUAGCCGGCCUGAGAGGGUGACCGGCCACAUUGGGACUGAGAUACGGCCCAGACUCCUACGGGAGGCAGCAGUGGGGAAUAUUGCACAAUGGGCGGAAGCCUGAUGCAGCAACGCCGCGUGCGGGAUGACGGCCUUCGGGUUGUAAACCGCUUUCGCCUGUGACGAAGCGUGAGUGACGGUAAUGGGUAAAGAAGCACCGGCUAACUACGUG
rnacentral:rRNA from 1 species